rnacentral:rRNA from 1 species
CCCCACUGCUAUCGGGGUGGGACUAAAACAUGCAAGUCGAGCGCCUCCAAGCUAUGGUGAAGGCGCGGCAAACGGCUCAGUAACACGUGGCCAACCUACCCUUGGGACGGAGACAACCCCGGGAAACUGGGGCUAAUCCCCGAUAGGUAAGGAAUCCUGGAAUGGAUCUUUGCUGAAAGGGCGUCUAGACCAUGCUUCUUGACGUCGCCCAAGGAUGGAGCCGCGGCCGAUCAGGUAGUUGGCGAGGCAACGGCUCACCAAGCCUAUAACCGGUACGGGCCGUGAGAGCGGUAGCCCGGAGAUGGGCACUGAGACAAGGGCCCAGGCCCUACGGGGCGCAGCAGUUGCGAAAACUCCGCAAUGCGCGAAAGCGUGACGGGGCUACCCCGAGUGCCGCCCGUUGAGGGCGGCUUUUCCACGGUGUAAGGAGCCGUGGGAAUAAGGAGAGGGCAAGACUGGUGUCAGCCGCCGCGGUAAUACCAGCUCUCCGAGUGGUGGGGACGAUUAUUGGGCUUAAAGCGUUCGUAGCCGGCUUAACAAGUCUUCCGUUAAAUCCAACGAUCUAAUCGUUGGGCUGCGGGAGAUACUGUUGGGCUAGGAGGCGGGAGAAGCCGACGGUAUUCUCGGGGUAGGGGUGAAAUCCUGUAAUCCCGGGAGGACCACCAGUGGCGAAGGCGGUCGGCUAGAACGCGCUCGACGGUGAGGGACGAAAGCUGGGGGAGCGAACCGGAUUAGAAACCCGGGUAGUCCCAGCUGUAAACGAUGCGGGCUAGGUGUUGGGGUGGCCACGAGCCACUUCAGUGCCGCAUGGAAGCAAUUAAGCCCGCCGCCUGGGGAGUACGGCCGCAAGGCUGAAACUUAAAGGAAUUGGCGGGGGAGCACCACAAGGCGUGAAGCUUGCGGUUU